UGUUUCUCCUCUUCUCUUCCAUUUCUUCUUCUCUUCUCCUUCUUCUUUCCAGAACUCCUUCCGACUUCUUCUCCUCCUUUCUUUCUUCUCCUUUCUUCUUCCACGAAGGAAGGAAGGCGAGCUCGGGAGGGAGGCUAGCGGGAGCCCACCCCAUCGUGGGGAGCACAGGAAGGGCCUCCGACCGAGGAUCGGCGGCGCUACGGCCAUGGAUCCACCGAUCUCCCCUCUUUUCCCACGAAGCAAGGGGGAGAUCUCCCUGUCAGAUCGCUUGGGAGGAGCUGGGCCGAGGCCGACGAUGCCUGCGACCGGCUAGCAGCGCCCGCGGGACGGCUGCGGUGAAGGAUAGUUUGGUCAACAUCAGAUCACCGCGCUUCGGUGAUGUUGGAAACCCGUCCUCAAGGACGGGUAUAAAAUCACUGGACUGGACGGUGAUCUAAAAAGUGGGGUGAUCCGAUAUCACCGCCACGUAGGAUUACUAAGAUGAAAUCAAAUACGGUGAUUUUAUCACUUCAUCCGGAUCACCCUUGAUCCUGGGGUUAUCACCCCAUACCAAACGCCCCCUUAUAUUCAUCCAUCCAAAAAACCCCGGAGCGCGAGGAACGCGGCACAAUCGGCCUCAUCCUCCUCCACGGCGAGGAGGUCGUCUACAUGACUAUCGAGGCCCCAUUCCCCCAGACGAGUCCCACGCCAAGGCCCAUGCCGCCUCCGCGGCUCUCUCAGGCCCUAGCAUCGGCCUCGCCGCCGGCCACGGCAUCCCCCCGCUCCCCUCGUCCAGGCCUUCCAGGUCUCGUCGGUCCCAUCCGAAAUGUCGGUGACCCUGCCCCCGGCAUGAUGUAGCCCUAGAUCUCCCGGCCUCUCUGCCGCAGCUAUCUGCCCCGCCUGUCUCUUACCCGCAGGUCAUCCGCCCCACCAGGUGCUCGGCUUCCCUGCACCCAUGACCGCCCGCCCUCCCAUGCCCCCCCGCGCAGUUCGCCGCCAGGCCUCAUGCCCCCGCCCCAGAUCGGGCAGCGCCCUAUGGGCCUGCCACCCUCUCAGAUGAUGUGCGGCCCCCCACCACCGCAGAGGCCCGGGAUGCCGGCUCCUCUAUCCUCCAGGGCUAGGAUGCCUCCACCGCUGCUACCUGGUGGAACGGUCCCAGUGUUUGCCCCGCCGAGACCUGGGAGGAGGCCCCCACCGCCGCCAAACCUACAGCAGCAGCAGCAACCUCAGAACCAGCAGCAGCAGUAGAGAUUAUCAGGGAUUUGGAAGAGGCCUUGGAUGAGGUAGUCUUCAAUGAUGGAAUACCUGACAUCAAAUUUAGUAGGGUUCUAGGUAAAAUUUGGUCCAUAGCACUUAAGAAUCAAUUCUGUAUGCCACCAUAUUAUAUACACUGGUCUUGCGCUCUCUAGCUUCCCUAGAAGCUUUGUGGGAAGCUUUGUGGAGCUGCAGCUCUUGAAGGGAAUGAUACAAUAUUUCUAGGGAACAUUGACAAAAAGUAGAAAAAAGAUGUCAUCAACCUGUUAUAGGAAAUUGGAGUUGAGAAGAUCGACACUGUCACAGUCAUGGCUGAUCCUAAUAAUGCAGAUUCCAAUCGUGGAUUUGCAUUUCUUGAACUUGAAAGUAACAGAGAUGCACAAAUUGCAUACAAAAUACUUUAGAAGAAAGAUGCUUUUGGAAAGGGUCGGAAUAUUAAAGUUGCUUGGGCUGAGCCAUUGAAUGAUCCCGAGGAGAUGCAGAAGGUAAAAUCGGUUUAUGUUGAAGGCAUACCAUUAUCUUGGAAUGAAGACAAAGUGAGGGAAUCCUUCAAAAAAUUUGGGGAGAUUGAGCGUAUCAUCCUUGCACGUAAUAUCCCAUCAGCUAAGAGAAGAUUUGCCUUUGUUAACUACACAAUGCGAGAGGCUGCUGUUUCAUGUAUUGAGUCAUUUGAUAAGGAGGAAAUAAUGGAGAGUGGCUUAAAGGUAAAUCUUAAAGUAUCACUAGCUAAGCCUGUGCAAAAAGGUAAACAGAACAAAGGAGGGUCAAAAUAACAAAGACAAAGAAAAGCCCAAAGCAGUCCAUCGUGAGUCAAAAUUUCUUCAAGCCUCUCUGCUUCUAUUUAUAUUGCUGAAUUGUUUUUUAAUGUUUAAAAUCAGAUUUGAAAAUCAGAUGCAUAUGAUGUAUAUUGUUUAGAUUAAAUUCAUAUUAGUUUUGUAUAUAUGAUGUAUGAACAUAAAUUAAAUAAGAUUUAAACAUGAAUUAAAUCUGAAAUUAGCAUGUUUAAUUGACAAAUUCAGAUUUGAAAAUAAGUUUUAAGAACUAAAAAUUUGUAAUUAACAUGUGAUUCAAAACUUAUGUAAUGAUCUGAAAUUUUUUAUAAAUCUACACUUAAUUGAGAAUUAAGUGAUUUAGAAUUGUGAAUUGAAAUCUAAUUGACAUUGCAUAAAUCUUGGGAAUUUUUGGGUUAACUCAAAUCAAGUUUUAGUGAACUGGGUUAGACAUAGGGUUAAAAUCAAAGAUGGACUAAUUGGAGUAAUUGAUCAAAUUUAACUAAGUAGUAAUUAGAUUAGGUCAAGGAUACUCAAUCAAAUACAAUAGUUGUACUUGAUCAAGUUUAUAUUUUUGAUUAGACCAAAUGGAACUUGAUUGAGGCUUAGUGGUUGAGCCUGAGUUAUUAGGAUAAUUAAAAUCAAAAUUGAUUAACCAGUUGGUGUCUAAGGUAAGUUUGGCAGUCUUGACCGGUGGUUUUUAAUUGGGAGCUACUCGUACUGAUUCGUCUUUGUCGAGUUAAUGGCAUAUUCCUUCCACUGAUCUUACUUACCUGGCUGACUUAGUCAAUCAUUUUUAAUUAGAUCACUUAAUGAUUCGAGUUGAUCCAUGCCUGUAAGCAAAAUCAAUGUGACUGGUUUAGGUGCCCAAGAAUCAGGCUGAAUCUAGUUUCUUUUUUUUAAUCUGACUUGAUGAAGUCAGUGGGAGGAUCAAGAUUAAUCAAUUUUUCUCUUCUCUUCUUUUUAUUAAAUCAAAUCCCCUAAAAUUAUUAGGUCACUAGAAUAAAAUAGUUAUAGAGAUAACUAGCUCAAAGCCUCCCAUGAAGUUGAAUGAUAAUGGG